CCGCCCCGCACGGGCCGCACUAUGCCUGUACGCAUGCGCCCACUAGUCCAAGCCUCUUCUGGGGCGCUUUGCGCAUGUGCCAUUUCGACAGGGACGGACGGAGGGAGCUUGAGCUUCUAGUUUCUGGAAUUUCCCAGCCUCGUUCUCGCCUCCCGGCUCGGUGGUGCCUGUGGCCCUCCCAGCUGCUGCGGUGUCAUGUUGCACGCGCCGUGGGCUGGAACGGGGGGAUUGUCUGAGGCAGCCGGAAACCGUCAGGUUCCCGCCUCGCGAGUGCGCGCGACGCCCGCUUGGCGCUUUGGCUGAGCGCUGGGUCGCGCUGCCCUCGGGUCGCCCGCGCGGGCCAGCCACGGCGUCGGCUCCGUCCGCAGGCCGCUGUCUCCUGUGCUGAGGAGACGGGUAGCAGUGUAAGGUUGUUAUCCCGGGGUGGGGGGAGCCAUGCUCUGCCUGGGGGUCGAGUCGUAGCUGGGUGCUGGCACUCAGGAGCCGCAGCUCUGGCCCUAGAGAGGAGGGGGCCCAGUGGUUACAGACUCAUCUGCCCAUCACUAUCCCUGUCCUGACCCUUCCACCCCCUGGCCGCCUUCAUCCCCUAAUCCCAGCCCCUUUGCCCAGCCGGGCCUAAUCAUCCCUGCUCCAGGUCUGAGUCCUGCUUCCUCUCCCCGUAUCCUCUCCCAGUUCCCCCCUCCUGGCUCCUCAUCUGGUCUCUCUCUCCCCCACUGCUGGCUUCCUGGCUCAUAGACUUUAAGGCAGUGGUCCCCAAACUGGGGGACAUAGAGGAAUGUUUGAGGGGGGAGUGCUACCCAGCCCUGCUCUGCCCCCAGCUCCACUCCGGCCCUGCUUCUGGCCUCAGCCCCUGCCUGUGAUCCCAGCUGCAGCGCCUGCCACGUUCCUGGCCACUGCUCAAGGGGGUUGUGGACCAGUUAAGGAGGGAGGGGGCCAUGACCAAAAAAGCUUGGGGACCACGGCUUUAAGGUCAGUUGGGACCCCUGUGAUCAUCUAGUCUGACUUCUCCUGUACACUGCCGGCCACAGAAUCCCAGCUACCCACUCUUGUAAUAUACCCCUAGCCUCUGGCUGAAUUAUUGAAGUCCUUAAAUCAUGGUUUAAAGACUUCAAGUUACAGCGAAUCUGUCAGUUACGCUAAUUUAAACCUGCAUGUGACCCAUGCACCAUUCUGGAGAGGAAGGCAAAAAACACCAGGGUCUCUGCCAAUCUGACCCAGGGAAAAAUUCCUUCCUGACCCCAAAUAUGGUGAUCAGUUUGCCCCUAAGCAUGUGGGCAAGACCCACCAGGCAGAUAUCUGGGAAAGAAUUAUCUGUAGUAACUCAGGGCUUGUCUAUAUUUACGGCUAAAUCAACACUGCUGUGAUUGAUGCAGUGAUGUCGGUUUGGUGAAGACAAGUUAAGUCGAUGGCAGAGCACUCUCUCCUUGACUUCUGUACUCCACCUCCCCGAGAGGCAGAAGGACAGACAUACUGACAUUUUGCAUCAUCAAAACCACAGAAGUGGAAAUUUUCAUAAGAGAAAGAAGAGGAACAGCAGCUGAAACGAAUUUAGAAAUGGACAGUGUGAGAAGUUAGAAUGACAGCCACCACCUUUAUAAAAUGCUUUAAGACCUUUUAUUCAGUGUGAAGACAGUCUGAAGCUCAUCUGGAAACCUCCUCUUUGUACAGGUGAGAAUAAACUGCCUGCAUAGCUUUGGAUGUUUGUUCUCUGUAGAACACGGCAAUCCACUAGAACAACUCAACAUGAAUUCUCUUACUGAAUAAGCCCUCUGUCAUGGGAGUUGAGACUUUCCAACAUUGAGCAAUACCAUACAAUCACAUCUAUGGUUGAUCAGGUUGGCGAGAUCUUCCCUUCACUGGGGAAUUGGAACCACUGUUUUGAAUCAGUGACCCAGUCAUACUUUCCAUGAGCCGCUGAAUUUGAAAUUUAUGUAUCAGACUGUUGUCUGGAUUCUGUGAGACAGACAAAGCCUCUAUUAUAUAGAUCAUGUGAAUGGAUGCCAAGAACAUUAAAGCACCACUCAAGGGUUUGCUAUGGCUGCUGCUUGUAGAGUGGGAUGACCCAAGAAAUGCUUUUUCAUAACAGCUGAUGCAGAAGUCAGGGAGCCAAUUGCAGCAUAGUCAAUCUCCUACCAAUAGAAUGAGCAUAGCUGAUCCUGGCAGGGGCUGUCUGAUUGCACUUCCUGACUGGUGAAGGGGCAGGGCUAAGUUACUACUUGACCCAGCAGCAGCCAGAGCUCGAUGGCUGCUCAAUCCAGCCCACACCGCAGCUGUGUUUGAUCACGUUUCCCCAGUGCCUACUCCUGCACCCUUCCAGCCUGUGCCUGCUCUUGUGACAGCUCCAGAUCCUGUUUUGUGUGCCUAUUCCUGCCCAGCCUGCCCUUCUCCAUCCCUGGCUCUGCUUCCUGACCAUGGCUCCAGUUCACCUACUGGCUCUGGUAUUUGGCUUCUGAUCCCUGGUUCUGACCUCGGUUUUGCUCUUGACUAUGCCCCUGGACAUCCCAUGGCUCGGAUUCUCCACUCAGCUCUAACUUCCAGACUUGGCCUCCCCCCGGCUCCAACCAUUAAGACCAACUGCUAACCUCCCGGUCCUGUUCCUGACAAAUUGAGCAGCCUGCAAGAGAAAGACCGAAGAUGAGGUUCUGUUGUGAGGUUGACCCCUAUUAAGGUCUCUGUCUUCCUCACAGAGGUAAUGGGCACCUUGCAGAAGCUACAGACCCAAAUCAUGGUCCUGCAGGCACAGGUCUCAGUAUCCAGGGCCCCGGUUCAGGAACUGAAAAUUCUGCUGCUAGCCCAAUUUGACAGUGACUGUGGGAAAUUAUGCAACUUCCUGAAUCAAUGCUGCCUCCUGUUCAUGUGAUGACCUCUGUCAUUUCCCACUGACCAGGCCCAAUAUGGGCUCAUCAGCCUAUUAACUUGGAAGGCCCUGGCCUGGAAGUCCCCUUUCCAGGAGACUUCCAGCCCCUUGUUAGGGCAGCUUGAGGAAUUCCAUGAAGACAUGGCAGUUGUUUCUAUGACCUGAAUUGUACCUGCUCUGCCAAGGGUGCUUUGGCUCCUACUCUAGGGAAUAGACCAUUAGCCACAUUCACCAUGGAAUUCUGGCACUUAGUGGCUAACACUAGAUGCAAUGAAUCAGUGCAGCACAGCACUACUAUUUCCAGCAUAGCUUGAAUGAAGAAAUCAAAGACAAGCUGGUGCAGGUAGAGCCACUGUCCGACCUAAAUGCUCUAGUCAGGCUGUUCAUCAGCAUUGAUGAUCACCUGGCCAAACAUGAACUAGAAAGGAAGUUCAGUUUUCUACACCCACAGACUGAAGAAAUUCGACCUUGCCUUGCCAACACAGAAAGGAAUCUGCAAUGAGCUCCAGAUUUAUGCUUAAACUGCAGGGAACCCGAGCACUAUGUACCGUGGUAUCUCAGUAAGACUCGUGUCCUGUCCCAGUUGGGAAAGCCCUUUAUGUCAAACAGUAUCCUGGCUGUAGUUGGCUAGUGAGCCACCACCCUCCAACUUCCUCUUUGGCGACAACACCCAGCCAUGUUUGAGGUUUAGCUAAGGGCACUGGUGGACUCAAGGGCCUCUAACAACUUCAUGGACCUAGAUUUUACUUUGACCCAUAACAUUUCCACUCAGUGGAACAGCAUCCCUAAUUUGAUGGAAUCCAUCGGAUGGGUCCCCCACUCCUCUGGCCCAGUAUUCACCAGACGACACUGCUGACUCUGACCACACUCCAGGAGAUUCUGCAAUUUGGACUGAUUUGUACCACUCACUCCCCCAUCGUUCCUUGGCUGGAUGACCAUGACCUGCGCAUCCAGUAGGGAUCAGGCAUGGUUUGCUUUAUGUCAAGAUUCUGCUGCCAAUUAUGUCUCCCAAGGUUGGUGUCAGAUCCAAAUCCUCUCACAAUGGAGCUGCUGAAGGGGGAUGUUCAAAGAUAGCUGCCGCCCUCUCCAUCACCCUCUCACCCAUUUCAGGUAUUGUGGGGAAAUAUCGAGACUUUGCUGACUUUUUCUCUUUGAUAAAAAGAGAGCGGAUGUCUUACUGACACAUCACAAUUAUGAUUACUUCAUACUCCCUCUCAGGACUGAACCUUCAAAUGUUCCAGGAAUGCUUCCAUAAGAAUUUCCAGAAGGGGUUUAUUUGUCCUUCUGCCUUUCCAGCAGGGGUUCCAAUCUUUUUUGUUAUGAAAAAAAAAAACAUCUCCCUGGCCCCCGCGUUGUUCACUGGUCUUUGAAUAGAGUGACUGUUCAAAAUCGCUACCCUUUGACACUUAACGAACUUUUUGAAAUACUUUGCUUGGCUGUUUUUCCCUUAAACUUCACAGACUCUGCAAUAUGGUUCAUAUAGGAAGGCAAAGAGUGGAAGAUGGUAUUCCAGGUUCCAUUCAGGCAUUUUGAGUAUUUAGUUUGCCAGAAGCUGAGAAUGAUUGACAGGGAAUGGAUUACUUGAGGAUUACCUGUUCUGUUCGUUCCCUCUGCGGGACCUGGCAUUGGCCACUGUCAGAAGACAAUAUACGGGCUAGAUGGACCUUUGUUCUGACCCAGUAUGGCUGUUCUUAUGUUCUAGCUAUGCCAUUUGGGCUAAGUAAUGCCUCUACAUUGCAGAUUUCAUAAAUGACUAUUUUCAGGACAUGCUGGAACAAUUUGUUGUUUAUUUAGAUGAUAUUCUUGUCUUCUCCAAAAACCAGAAACUACAUCACCCGACGUGCACGGGCUGAAAUUGUGGAAAAGCAGCAUCACUUGCCCCAUAACCUCAGCUGUGUAGAAGACAAUGCCAUCCACAG